rnacentral:rRNA from 1 species
UACGUAGGGUGCAAGCGUUCAUCGGAAUUACUGGGCGUAAAGCGUGCGCAGGCGGUUCGUUGUGUCGGUGGUGAAAGCCCCGGGCUUAACCUGGGAAUGGCCAUGGAAACUGGCGAACUGGAGUGUGGCAGAGGGGGGUGGAAUUCCGCGUGUAGCAGUGAAAUGCGUAGAGAUGCGGAGGAACACCGAUGGCGAAGGCAGCCCCCUGGGCUAGCACUGACGCUCAGGCACGAAAGCGUGGGGAGCAAACAGG